UACGAAGGGUGCAAACGUUGCUCGGAAUUAUUGGGCGUAAAGCGCACGUAGGCGGCUCUGCAAGUCCCAUGUGAAAGCCCACGGCUCAACCGUGGAAGUGCAUGGGAAACUGCAAAGCUUGAGUACUUAAGAGGAUCGCGGAAUUCCCGGUGUAGAGGUGAAAUUCGUAGAUAUCGGGAGGAACACCAGUGGCGAAGGCGGCGAUCUGGGAAGAUACUGACGCUGAGGUGCGAAAGCGUGGGGAGCAAACAGG
rnacentral:rRNA from 1 species